rnacentral:rRNA from 1 species
UACGGGAGUGGCAAGCGUUAUCCGGAAUUAUUGGGCGUAAAGCGUCCGCAGGCGGUCUUGAAAGUCUGUUGUUAAAGCGUGGAGCUCAACUCCAUUUCAGCAAUGGAAACUAGAAGACUAGAGUGUGGCAGGGGCAGAGGGAAUUCCCGGUGUAGCGGUGAAAUGCGUAGAUAUCGGGAAGAACACCAGUGGCGAAGGCGCUCUGCUGGGCCAUAACUGACGCUCAUGGACGAAAGCCAGGGGAGCGAAAGGGAUUAGAUACCCCUGUAGUCCUGGCCGUAAACGAUGAACACUAGGUGUCGGGGGAAUCGGCCCCCUCGGUGUCGUAGCCAACGCGUUAAGUGUUCCGCCUGGGGAGUACGCACGCAAGUGUGAAACUCAAAGGAAUUGACGGGGGCCCGCACAAGCGGUGGAGUAUGUGGCUUAAUUCGAUGCAACGCGAAGAACCUUACCAGGGUUUGACAUCCUGCGAAUCCCUUGGAAACUUGGGAGUGCCUUCGGGAGCGCAGUGACAGGUGGUGCAUGGCUGUCGUCAGCUCGUGUCGUGAGAUGUUGGGUUAAGUCCCGCAACGAGCGCAACCCACGUCUUUAGUUGCCAGCAUUAAGUUGGGCACUCUAGAGAGACUGCCGGUGAUAAACCGGAGGAAGGUGUGGAUGACGUCAAGUCAUCAUGCCCCUUACAUCCUGGGCUACACACGUACUACAAUGCUACGGACAAAGGGCAGCAAACUCGCGAGAGCUAGCAAAUCCCAUAAACCGUGGCUCAGUUCAGAUCGUAGGCUGCAACUCGCCUACGUGAAGGAGGAAUCGCUAGUAAUCGCAGGUCAGCAUACUGCGGUGAAUACGUUCCCGGGCCU